GUACUUACUUUCAGAACUCCUACCCACUACCAUUGAGAAAAGCACAUAUACUAAAAUUGGAGCGAUACAAAGAUCAGCAUGGCCCUUGUACAAGAAUGACACCCAGUAUUUGUUUACUGUUCUUUU
ensembl:snRNA U6 U6 spliceosomal RNA